AUUGAACGCUGGCGGCAGGCCUAACACAUGCAAGUCGAACGAACUCUUCGGAGUUAGUGGCGGACGGGUGAGUAACACGUGGGAACGUGCCUUUAGGUUCGGAAUAACUCAGGGAAACUUGUGCUAAUACCGAAUGUGCCCUUCGGGGGAAAGAUUUAUCGCCUUUAGAGCGGCCCGCGUCUGAUUAGCUAGUUGGUGAGGUAAAGGCUCACCAAGGCGACGAUCAGUAGCUGGUCUGAGAGGAUGACCAGCCACAUUGGGACUGAGACACGGCCCAAACUCCUACGGGAGGCAGCAGUGGGGAAUCUUGCGCAGUGGGCGAAAGCCUGACGCAGCCAUGCCGCGUGAAUGAUGAAGGUCUUAGGAUUGUAAAAUUCUUUCACCGGGGACGGUACCCGGAGAAGAAGCCCCGGCUAACUUCGUGCCAGCCGCCGCGGUAACAC
rnacentral:rRNA from 1 species